rnacentral:rRNA from 1 species
UACAGAGGUCCCAAGCGUUGUUCGGAUUUACUGGGCGUAAAGGGUGCGUAGGCGGUCGGGUAAGUCUGAUGUGAAAUCUCCGAGCUUAACUCGGAAAUGGCAUUGGAUACUAUUCGGCUGGAGAGUUGGAGGGGGGACUGGAAUACUUGGUGUAGCAGUGAAAUGCGUAGAUAUCAAGUGGAACACCAGUGGCGAAGGCGGCGACCUGGGUAGAUACUGACGCUGAGGUGCGAAAGCGUGGGGAGCAAACAGG